GCUCUGAGGAGGAAGGGAUAGGAGGUUGUGUGAGGGACAGGAAGCAGUGAGCUGGAAAAGCAGAGGCAAGGUGGUAGAAGAAGGAGAGAAAGAGCCAGAGCUCUGUGGAGCAGCUCAUUGGAGGCUACACAGAAAAGUGCUCUUCAGGGGAGUGCAUAAUGCACCCAAGGGCUGGCUGCACUGCAUGUCAUUUGGAUCUCCCUCAACACCUCCAAUGGUCAACUAUAAAGUGUGCCAGAGCAAACUUUUAGAAGAGAACAGGAACAAGCCACACUUGAUUUGAAGGGAAAUUCAAGUUGGAUUCCAGCUGUAUAUGCCUCAUUCUGAAGAGCAAAUCUGUCAGCAUAAUGGGCACAUUUCAUCUCUGGGGUGAGAUGUGGCAAAUCUCAAAGGAGCAUCAAGGUCCUUCCUGAACUGCAGAGUUCACCUCAUGCUCCCAUACAGAAAAGUCCCAAGGUUCAGUGGUGUGGCAUGGGACCAGUGGCUCAGCAAGUGUCUUCCAUGGAGAAGAACUCAUAGCUGAGAGGAUACAACCAAUACAAACUGUGAAAUUACACUUCCUGACUUGCUCUUGCAAAAGGGAAUUUUCUCCUGCCUCAUAUUAUCUGAAGGCCAGAAACUCAGUUGCAC